rnacentral:rRNA from 1 species
CAGGCCUAACACAUGCAAGUCGAACGGCAGCGGGGGGUAGCUUGCUACCUCGCCGGCGAGUGGCGGACGGGUGAGUAAUGCCUGGGGAGCUGCCCAAUCGAGGGGGAUACCAGUUGGAAACGACUGCUAAUACCGCAUACGCCCUGAGGGGGAAAGGUGGGGAUCUUCGGACCUACCGCGAUUGGAUGCGCCCAGGUGGGAUUAGCUAGUUGGUGAGGUAACGGCUCACCAAGGCGACGAUCUCUAGCUGGUCUGAGAGGAUGACCAGCCACACUGGAACUGAGACACGGUCCAGACUCCUACGGGAGGCAGCAGUGGGGAAUAUUGCACAAUGGGGGAAACCCUGAUGCAGCCAUGCCGCGUGUGUGAAGAAGGCCUUCGGGUUGUAAAGCACUUUCAGUCAGGAGGAAAGGUGGCUAGCUAAUACCUAGUUGCUGUGACGUUACUGACAGAAGAAGCACCGGCUAACUCCGUGCCAGCAGCCGCGGUAAUACGGAGGGUGCAAGCGUUAAUCGGAAUUACUGGGCGUAAAGCGCACGCAGGCGGCUUGUUAAGUCAGAUGUGAAAGCCCCGGGCUCAACCUGGGAACUGCAUUUGAAACUGACAAGCUAGAGUCUUGUAGAGGGGGGUAGAAUU